GGGUUGUGAGGUUAAGUGACUAAGCGUACACGGUGGAUGCCUAGGCAGUCAGAGGCGAUGAAGGGCGUGCUAAUCUGCGAAAAGCGUCGGUAAGGUGAUAUGAACCGUUACAACCGGCGAUACCCGAAUGGGGAAACCCAGUGUGUUUCGACACACUAUCAUGUCAUGAAUACAUAGUGGCAUGAGGCGAACCGGGGGAACUGAAACAUCUAAGUACCCCGAGGAAAAGAAAUCAACCGAGAUUCCCCCAGUAGCGGCGAGCGAACGGGGAGGAGCCCAGAACCUGAAUCGGCUUGUGUGUUAGUGGAAGCGUCUGGAAAGUCGCGCAGCAAAGGGUGAUAGCCCCGUACACUAAAAUGCACAGGUCGUGAGUUCGAUGAGUAGGGCGGGACACGUGACAUCCUGUCUGAAUAUGGGGGGACCAUCCUCCAAGGCUAAAUACUCCUGACUGACCGAUAGUGAACCAGUACCGUGAGGGAAAGGCGAAAAGAACCCCGGCGAGGGGAGUGAAAUAGAACCUGAAACCGUGUACGUACAAGCAGUGGGAGCACCUUCGUGGUGUGACUGCGUACCUUUUGUAUAAUGGGUCAGCGACUUAUAUUUUGUAGCAAGGUUAACCGUAUAGGGGAGCCGUAGGGAAACCGAGUCUUAACUGGGCGAAUAGUUGCAAGGUAUAGACCCGAAACCCGGUGAUCUAGCCAUGGGCAGGUUGAAGGUUGGGUAACACUAACUGGAGGACCGAACCGACUAAUGUUGAAAAAUUAGCGGAUGACUUGUGGCUGGGGGUGAAAGGCCAAUCAAACCGGGAGAUAGCUGGUUCUCCCCGAAAGCUAUUUAGGUAGCGCCUCGUGAACUCAUCUUCGGGGGUAGAGCACUGUUUCGGCUAGGGGGCCAUCCCGGCUUACCAAACCGAUGCAAACUCCGAAUACCGAAGAAUGUUAUCACGGGAGACACACGGCGGGUGCUAACGUCCGUCGUGAAGAGGGAAACAACCCAGACCGCCAGCUAAGGUCCCAAAGUCAUGGUUAAGUGGGAAACGAUGUGGGAAGGCAUAGACAGCCAGGAUGUUGGCUUAGAAGCAGCCAUCAUUUAAAGAAAGCGUAAUAGCUCACUGGUCGAGUCGGCCUGCGCGGAAGAUGUAACGGGGCUAAACCAUGCACCGAAGCUGCGGCAGCGACGCUUAGGCGUUGUUGGGUAGGGGAGCGUUCUGUAAGCCGUUGAAGGUGGCCUGUGAGGGUUGCUGGAGGUAUCAGAAGUGCGAAUGCUGACAUAAGUAACGAUAAAGCGGGUGAAAAGCCCGCUCGCCGGAAGACCAAGGGUUCCUGUCCAACGUUAAUCGGGGCAGGGUGAGUCGACCCCUAAGGCGAGGCUGAAAAGCGUAGUCGAUGGGAAACAGGUUAAUAUUCCUGUACUUGGUGUUACUGCGAAGGGGGGACGGAGAAGGCUAGGCUAGCCGGGCGACGGUUGUCCCGGUUUAAGCGUGUAGGGGGUGUGACCUGGUAAAUCCGGUUACAUACUAACCCUGAGGCGUGAUGACGAUGCACUACGGUGCAGAAGUAGUUGAUGCCCUGCUUCCAGGAAAAGCCUCUAAGCUCCAGGUAACAUUGAAUCGUACCCCAAACCGACACAGGUGGUCAGGUAGAGAAUACCAAGGCGCUUGAGAGAACUCGGGUGAAGGAACUAGGCAAAAUGGUGCCGUAACUUCGGGAGAAGGCACGCUGGCAUGUAGGUGAAGUCCUUCGCGGAUGGAGCUGAAGCCAGUCGAAGAUACCAGCUGGCUGCAACUGUUUAAUAAAAACACAGCACUGUGCAAACACGAAAGUGGACGUAUACGGUGUGACGCCUGCCCGGUGCUGGAAGGUUAAUUGAUGGGGUCAGCCGCAAGGCGAAGCUCUUGAUCGAAGCCCCAGUAAACGGCGGCCGUAACUAUAACGGUCCUAAGGUAGCGAAAUUCCUUGUCGGGUAAGUUCCGACCUGCACGAAUGGCGUAAUGAUGGCCAGGCUGUCUCCACCCGAGACUCAGUGAAAUUGAACUCGCUGUGAAGAUGCAGUGUACCCGCGGCAAGACGGAAAGACCCCGUGAACCUUUACUAUAGCUUGACACUGAACAUUGAGCCUUGAUGUGUAGGAUAGGUGGGAGGCUUUGAAGCGUGGACGCCAGUCUGCGUGGAGCCAUCCUUGAAAUACCACCCUUUAAUGUUUGAUGUUCUAACUCGGCCCCGUGAUCCGGGGUGAGGACAGUGUCUGGUGGGUAGUUUGACUGGGGCGGUCUCCUCCCAAAGAGUAACGGAGGAGCACGAAGGUUAGCUAAUCACGGUCGGACAUCGUGAGGUUAGUGCAAAGGCAUAAGCUAGCUUGACUGCGAGAGUGACGGCUCGAGCAGGUACGAAAGUAGGUCUUAGUGAUCCGGUGGUUCUGAAUGGAAGGGCCAUCGCUCAACGGAUAAAAGGUACUCCGGGGAUAACAGGCUGAUACCGCCCAAGAGUUCAUAUCGACGGCGGUGUUUGGCACCUCGAUGUCGGCUCAUCACAUCCUGGGGCUGAAGUAGGUCCCAAGGGUAUGGCUGUUCGCCAUUUAAAGUGGUACGCGAGCUGGGUUUAGAACGUCGUGAGACAGUUCGGUCCCUAUCUGCCGUGGGCGUUGGAAGAUUGAGAGGGGUUGCUCCUAGUACGAGAGGACCGGAGUGAACGCACCACUGGUGUUCGGGUUGUCAUGCCAAUGGCAUUGCCCGGUAGCUAAGUGCGGAAAAGAUAAGCGCUGAAAGCAUCUAAGCGCGAAACUUGCCUCAAGAUGAGUCUUCCCUGGGCCUUCAAGGCCCCUGAAGGAACGUUUAAGACUAAGACGUUGAUAGGCUGGGUGUGUAAGUGCAGCGAUGCAUUGAGCUAACCAGUACUAAUGAUCCGUGAGGCUUAACCUUACAACACCGAAGGUGUUU
rnacentral:rRNA from 1 species